CGAACGCUGGCGGCAGGCUUAACACAUGCAAGUCGAGCGCCCCGCAAGGGGAGCGGCAGACGGGUGAGUAACGCGUGGGAACGUACCUUUUGCUACGGAAUAACUCAGGGAAACUUGUGCUAAUACCGUAUGUGCCCUUCGGGGGAAAGAUUUAUCGGCAAAGGAUCGGCCCGCGUUGGAUUAGCUAGUUGGUGAGGUAAAGGCUCACCAAGGCGACGAUCCAUAGCUGGUCUGAGAGGAUGAUCAGCCACACUGGGACUGAGACACGGCCCAGACUCCUACGGGAGGCAGCAGUGGGGAAUAUUGGACAAUGGGCGCAAGCCUGAUCCAGCCAUGCCGCGUGAGUGAUGAAGGCCCUAGGGUUGUAAAGCUCUUUCACCGGUGAAGAUAAUGACGGUAACCGAGAAGAAGCCCGGCUAAUUC
rnacentral:rRNA from 2 species